UUCCCGAAUACCUCCCAAACCCCUCUCACGCGUCUUCGGUCUCCUCCCGAACCCCUCUCACGCGAAGGCAACAAAAACCUCCAUCUCCGCUGAAACCCCUCCGCAAAAUCUUUCCCUGUGAAAACCUCCCGGUGAAAACCUCCAUCUCCGUCCAAGACCUUGACUCCAUGCAAAACCUCUAUCCGCGCCGCCCGUAACCAAGCCUCCUCCACCGAGGUCAUGAACUACCUCACCACGACCAGAUGUCACCGAGAUCUUCCCCUGCCACGACCAGGUCAUGAACUACCUCGAAUCUUAUGCACGCCACUUUGACCUACUCUGCUGUAUCAAGUUCCACUCUAGUGUGGUAUUGAUAGACCUUGUCAGGACAUCCGAAGAGGAGAUCGCCACGUAGGACCUCUGGACUGGCGUCGCUAAGGGAGAAUGGCACCUCACCGAGCAGCUAUAAGGGUGAUCCCUCCACCGAGAUCUAUUGGGUGGAUUUCUUGAUCCUGUGCAACGGAAGGUUCAGCAAUGCCCCAAAUUUCCCCAAUUUUGCGCGACGGGGUGCAGCUUAGGUGUUCGAUGGAAUGACUAUGCACUCGAUAGAGUACUCUAACAUGGACAACAUCGGUGACCGCUCUCAUGCGAGGAAAGCGAGUCACCGUCGUUGGCUCAGGGAAGACAACGUUUGAGAGAAUCAUGUACAUGAGAGAUCGUUGCACCAAAUUUGAGGUGAAGGUUUGUAUGAAGGACUUGAUUAUCUCUCUAGCAACAUCACUAAUAAGAUGAAUGUGAAAAGAAAUUGAAAGCGGAGUUUUUAUUUUACCAAGAAGGGCACUCAUAUACUUUUGAGAAGAAAAGUUCCAAUCCAAGAAGCAAGAUAUAUUGGAACUAAAAUGUAUGUUUAGUAUGUAGGGUUUUUGCUUUUAUUAGACUUAACAUGGAUCCAAAUUUUGUGGAUUAUGCCUACAUAUUUUUUGUUUAAAUUGUAUGAUACAUUUGUGGUUCAAUAAUAAGAAAUUUGAUUAGUUGUA